rnacentral:lncRNA from 1 species
AAAGGAAAACAAUCUGAUCUCCUUAAUCAAUAAGGCCGAGAGAGUUGAGAAGAAAAGUUGUCUUCCUUUCUUGCUUUCUUCCUAAAGCAGACUCGAGUGAGUGAGACGGAGUGUGAGGGAAAAGAAAGUGUAAGCUUCACCAUCAGCUAACUAUACGAACGAAAACAGAAGGGAGGUCGAGUGAGGAGUUGUGAUAGCAAACUUGAGCAGUCUGCAUUAUCGAUUUUUUAAGAGAAAAGAGGUAAGAAUCUACCAUAACCUUCUGCUUAUUUGGCACAAAUGAGUAUAUAUACAAGCUGCAUGUUAGUUUUAGCAAGGCACAAUGAGUUUUAACCGAGGAGAAAUCUGAUAAAGGAGAAAAAAUGGGAACUGGACAGAAAUGGAGGGAACCGAGAGUUGUUGUUGAGUUCCAGCCCAUAAAUAAAGAAAAUUUUCUGUAAUAACCUCGUAGUUAUUCAGUACACUUGAAUAUUAAGGUUGCAUGUUGGAUUGUAGCUAAGAAAAACUAAGUUUGGUUGAAGGAAAUAGUUGGAAGUUUCUGCUAUGCUGGCCGAAGGAGGAAAGAUAGAAAUGUCCAGGUUUCUUUAUAUAUUUUGGUUCUAAACUCCUACGUUGAGGCUUAGUUCAUUGCAUAAUAUUUUAGUUUUGGCAUGCAUGUUAGAUUUCGGUAUGAAAUGAAGUAGUUAAUGGAGGAAUUUCUUGCUAAAAGGUUGAUUGCUGUCCGAAGCUUUCUAUCAAGGCCGAGAGAGGGAGAGAGUUAAACCUUUGAUAAGUUUUUCCUUCAAACUCCACUCUGUAAACUUUCACAUCUGAUAUCUAAAGUUACUCUGUAGUUUAAUACUUGUAUUUGGCAUGAUGAGCUGGAGUUAAAACUGAAGGAGUUAUGGUAAAAAUGUUGCAUAUUAAACUGCUGCACUGCUGGAAGCUUUAGUUGUCCAAUGUCUUAGCCGAUGUCAGAUUGUUGUGCGUGGCUUUUGGGUUGAAUAAUUUGUUGAAACUAGAUGCUAAUUGCUUUGGUUUAUGCUGGAUUGAAUGUACCUUAAGUAUUUAGAGCUUUAAGCAAGUGAAAGAAUAGAGUUUUUGCUUAAAGUUUGAAGUAACGUUACUGAAAUUUUUGUGGUUGCUGUCCGAGAGAAUGAAGCAGAAUGUGCUUCUGACCGUCCCUUUUUGGCCUUGAAAACGCGAGAACUGGAUGUCAAUAUCUUCAUAGGAAAUGUAGGUCUAGGUCUUAGCUUCGAAACGCUAUAAAAUUUGCCUCAAUCCGAUGAGUGUAGCUUCAGUUGUGAUCAAAAUAUCAGAGGAUGGCAAAGCUGCCUUUCUCGUUGCUUUUCUCUUGUUUCCCGAAUGUAACUUGCUUUGAUGCUGGCCUUGACGAAACCAUAUUUUGAGCAGCAAUUCUUCUAAUUUCCAACUUUGUAAGCUUACAUAAAUGAUAGUUACGGUUGCCCUAAGAUUUAAUGACUAUAUCUAGUUCUACGAGUAGAGUUAAACUAAGGCAAAUGAGAGGAAAACUUAUGAUAGUUAUGUACAUAAAUUAACUUUUAAUCAUAAUCUUGUCUCACGAAUAUUUUAAAUACUAUAAAAUUAGAGGGACUAGUGUAGUGGAAUAAAUUGGAAGAAUAUACAAACCAGAAUCUAGUUUAAUCUAAAAAGGAAGGAAUGAAAAGUUCACUAGCCUUAAUCUUUAAAUUUGGGUUGAAAAUAGUUUAACCUUAGUUUAAACACCUUACAAGACCUUAAAUUUGGAAUACCUGUAUACCUCCCUUGUUUGAGUUGAUAAAAUUGAUAAAUCUCGAAGAGAAAUGUAAGAAAGAAUUGCUGGAAUUUUACAUCUUGUUUAAUAAGCUAAGGAACUUGGUUUCUAGUGAUUUAAACCUUAAGUUGGUGAGAUUUUAACGCUUAAAACUUCCCUCCUUACACUUUAGAACCUUAGAACUUAUGUUUGUGGUUGUACACAAAAUUCCUAAUCUUAAAAGUGUGAAUCCAAUGGGAGUUUUAAGAGUACUAGAUUGCUUGGAUUAGUUGAACUAUGUUUAGAAAAUCCUAUAACUCUAAAUAAACUUAUUAGAAUACAAUUAAAGAAUACAUGAAUGAUUGUAGUUGUAUUUUACCUUAGGAAUUGAGAGUGAUCAAGGGUUUAACCCAGAAAGUGAAACUUAAUCGACCUUUAACGGUGAGUGUUUUCCAAAUUUAUGUGUUUAACUAUUUAUGUGUAUCUAAGUAAAAUUAUAUGACAAACGUGCUUAUUAUGAAUUAUUACUAAAUGAUUCCUUGUGAAGUGUAUCUCAAUUGUCCCUCGCCUUCUAAGUCGAGAGUGUACUUUAUCGUACUCGACUUAGUUGAGCUUGAAGGUCGAUAAUUGACUGAAUGUUACCGUAAGUGUGCAUGAAUGUAAGCUGUAUGUGUACCUCGCCGCAUUGGCUGAAUUGGGCUCCAAAACCCUCUGUUCAACGGACUAUUCGAACCAGCAAAGGGCUUGGUCUGGUAGGACGGUAGCUUUGGGUAAAUGUUUAGGUAUACUCGAGUAUUACCAUGAGGUUGGGUGAUUAUUGAACUGAUUAUUGAAUGUAGGGGAUUGUUUAUUGUUUUGGAGGACAUAAGGAGGUGACUCGGCAGAAUGUGCAAUGAUAUUGAAAUGAAUGUACAAUGACAGUGAAAUGAGUGUCUUUUGACACUGAAAUGAAUGCUCAAUGACAUUGAAGUGGCUCCAAUGCGAGCACCGUAUCCUUUUAAAAGUGAUUGUUUAGUGAAGUGUUUCCUCAAUUGCUUAAUGAAAGUGAUUGUACUGAUAUUUAAGUGUUUAUUAAAUGUUACUUGCUCGACAAACCUCGCUGAACUUUACCUUAGCCUUUUAGUUUUUUUUUCCUUACAGGAGUUGGAGAUUGAAGAGUGAUUAGAUUGAACUAGAAAGUUAUUUUUGGGAAGAUCCGUUACUCUGUGUAUAUAGUGUAGUCAUGGUUUCUUUUGUAUUUUGAGACGGUUGAAUCUUUUGUUUGAGUUGGUGUGAUAUUAAGAAUUUAGAACAUGUAUUUUGUUUCUUUUAUUAGACAAAUUUAUGUUUCAAACUGAUUGGAGUUGUACUUAAGAGUGAAUGUUCAGUUGUCCAAUGACAGUGUUAUCUCUGAAGUUAAUGUAAAUGAGUGAGCCUUGGCGAGAGCCAGACGGGCGGUCCGCUAUCUUCUAGGGUAUGCCUUAGAAGAGGGUGGGGCCGUCAGAUUAGAAGUGCUAAUAAUAAGUUAGUAAAUCAUAAGUUAAAAUACAAGUACAAGAGAGUUAAGGAAAAUAGACUUGAAGCGACGUGCACCGUUUGUUACCGAUUGAGUACACUACUUGACCACCACUUUCUUACCCUAAUCUCCUUGUUUUUAUUUCAUUUAAUUUCCCCUAAAUUACUCUUAAGUCAGCCACCAUUUUUGACUAAAGAAAGGUGAGAAAAGAAAAAAAAAAGAAAGAAAAGCAAGGGUACCAAGUGUUGGCAAUCCAAAGGAUUGGUUGACCAAGACCAUUUCUUCCUUCUUGGCCAAUUUUCCUUCAUUUUCCUCUUGUGUUGGCCGAAUUUUGAGAGAGAAAAAAAGAGAGAGAAACCUUCCAUUUUCACCUUGAUCUUGCUUUGUUUGAGUUGAAUCACAAAAACUAAACCGAUUAAACUUGCAUCAAGGGUGUUAGGAAGUUUGGUGUGGUGAAAGUUUUGGAAGAAAUAACUUGGUUCCUCACUUUCAAGAAGCUUUUGUAAGGUAUAAGUCUAAAACUUCCUUUAUUUUUCUUAAUCUUGCUAAAUAUGCUAUAGAAGCUUUGGAUCUUGGAAUAUUAUGGAUGAUUUUCAAGUUUUGGGUUGUUUAUCGAAAAUUUCAGUUAGGGUUUUAUAUAUUUUUUUUAGCUUUGAUUAUGUUGUUUAACUAGCAAAUGUUGGUAUUGAGCUUGGAUAUGAAAUUUGUGAGGUGAUUAAUGGCAUGAUUGUGACUUUUUAGCAUUAAAAGAUGAAUUUCUAGCUUUGAUGAAAAAAUUCCAGCUUUGGUAGUGGUUGAUUAUUUGCUAGAAAUGAGUUAUAUUUGGAUGUUUUUAGCCUAGAUAAAGAGCUAUCUUGAUAUAUUUAUUGGUGGUGUUUCAAUUGGGUUGAUUUGAGGAAAAACAUGAAGCCUUAAAUGGGUGAAAAAUUGGACAAAUACAAAGGGUAUGCUGCCCAAAUUUUCAUUUGAGAGAUAAGUGAGUGAACUUGGAACUUGAGCGGUGAUUUGUGGUUGAAUUGAACUUAGAUUGCCUAGGGUAUUCAAGUUUCCUUUAGUAGAGGUAUAUAAGCUGAAUUUUUGCCAAAACUCAUAUACUUUUAAAGGUGAAAGCAGCGACCACUUUAAAAACGAUUUCCUAGGUUUUUUAUCACCAAGUCGCGAACUUAUAAGUUUUAAAUGCUUCUUUAUCGAAAUCAAAAAAGCAGGUUUGAAUUUUCUACUACUUAAACGAGUUUUAUUUACUUGAUUUUCUCCAAGUGAAACCCCUAUAUUUUGAACCCUAAUUGAUUGCAAACUGUUAAAUGGUAUUUUAUCGUAGAUUUGGACUCUAGCCAGGGAGUUGAACUUGAGCGUGGUUUUGAAAAGCAAUAACUCAUUGGUGAGUGUUUUCCAAUGCAUGAUUGAACUUGAUCUUUGAAUGAAAUGAUUUGCUAAUGCGAUUGAAUAAUACUUGACUUGUUUGGAUGAGACGAUGGUGUACUUUAUCGCACUCGUCCUCCCCUUCUUGAAUGAUCUCAUACUUGCUUGAGCUUGAUUGACCUGUACUUGUAUUGGUGCUUGUACUUGACUUAUAAGUGUUGAGCGAUAGCAUGUACCACACUCAAUCUGAGUGGGAGAUGCCUCUCAUCCCGUCUCACUACUUUUAUUAUCACCCUGUUAGUUAGUCAGUCAAAUCAAGCCAGUAAGGGCUUGAUCGAGGAGACUGGCGAAUCAUGGGUAUUGUUUAUUGUAUAAUCCUUUGGAUAUGGUCCACUGGAUUCGGUAUACUCGAGCAUUAUCAUCACUCUUACUUUGGAGUUCGAGCCCGGUAAGGGGAUUGAUUGGUGGAUGGAAUUGGUGUAAAGUGGAGAUCUACGGUCAUGGUUUUACUUCUUUAAACAUUGACGGAGUGUCAACAAGUUUAGAUCAAGUAAGGCAACGGGAAUUUGGCUCUUGAGAGCCAUCUGUAUCCUUAUACUUGGAAAUAAUUGUUACUUGUAGUGUUAUUAUUUUUUUUUAUGAACUUUUACACUUGCUCAUUUUGAGAUUUCAAGUUUUACAUAUGAUCAACUUGCUACUUGGAUCUGCAUGAAGUUUUGGAACCUCACUGAGUUUUGACUCACUCUAUUAGUUUUUGUUUUCCUAACAGGGGGUUACGAGCAUAAGCGUGAAGUUGGAAAGGCUAGUUUUGUCUAGACUUUUAACUUUUGUAAUUCUACUAGCGCUAGUGUUCGAUUAGGGUUAGAAGUGCAACUAGAACUUGAAUCUUUUGUUAUAUUCGGAUAUGUAUGAAUCGUUGAGAUUGCAAUGAAUGUAAAUGUACUUUCUAAACUUAGGAACUAUAGUCUCCUUUACUUUUGAAGUUGCAACUUAUUUUUUUGACAUGAGUGAGUGAGUCCUGGCGAGAGUUGGACAAACGGUCUGCUAAACCUUGGGGUACGCCCUAGGGGGAGGUGGGGUUGUCACACAAGUAAUGACUCCUGCUUUCUCCAAUACGAUGACCAUGUUGUGUGAGUAAAUUCUAAAGUUGGUUAGCAAUUGCAUGUCUUUCCUAAGUCUAACUGAACAAAAG